GUGUGUGUGUGUGUGUGUGUGUGUGUGUGUACUGGCUUUCCAAAGUCGUUUAUAAUAGGAGUAAGCAAGUUUAAAACGCCUACAAACAGAGUCCAUGAAGACGGAUGUAGAUGCAUAACAAGGAUUUAGAUGCAUAACAAAUGUCUUUCUUUAUUACUUGAGCUCCAUUAAACAUGAUCUCAAAAUUGUGGUCUCUCCGUGUUCACAUGUUCACACAAAGCCACACUUUAUCGACCGCAUACAAACUAGAAUAUUUAUAUAAGUAUAGUAUAUAUAGAGUCAUAGUUCAGUGGUGCCUGGGGCAGAAGAGAGAAGGGGGUGCAACUUCGGGAGCGAGUUCAGCUUCCUGACAGCCUGUUGAAUGAAGAUGUCCUUUGACAAGACUGUGUGAUAGGUGUGUGCAGUGCAGAGGGCUUUGCGUGUGAGACGGGUUUCAUAAAUGUCCCGUAGGGAGGGGAGAGAGACGCCAAUGAUCUUCUCAGCUGCUCUCACUAUGCGUUGUACUUUCUUCUGGCAGGACGCAUUGCAGGCACCAUACCACACAGUGAUGCAGCUCGUCAGGAUGCCCUCAAUGGUGCCUCUGUAGAAGGUGUACAUUAUGGGGGGGGGGGACUCUGGCCUGUGGCAUUAUUGUAUGUGGCAGCUUGCCUAACCCUCUGGAGUCAAUCCUCGUGUAUACGUGUGAUGAGGCAUUUUCUCCUGAUAACCCUGAAAAUAACUUAAAUUACACUUUCAGUUUUGAUUGUACAAAUUAGAGCAAUACAUCAAUCAAAUCUGUAAAGGGUCUACUUUUAUUUGUAUACAAGACAUAAUAACAACUAAACCUUUUGCAUUUAUAAAAUAAAUAUAUCAACAAUGUGUGCUGUCUGCAACCUUGGUCUGCGGUGAUCUUGAUUUAGAAAUCUGCCAUUAAAAUGAACUGUUACUCAGUGAAUACUCAAUGAAGAGACAUGAGAGAUAUAGCUAUAGAAAGCUUGACAUGUCUACCUUUAAACUAAAUAAGUUUAGUGCUACCAAAAACAAAUAUUAUGUGAUAAAGUAAUCUAUAUGAAAACAAUGUGAUGUCCAGUCUUUCACAUCUCUAUUCAUUAUCUCUAAUGCAACCACGCCCAUGCACUAAAGGAGCUAUUGAGAUUAUAAUUUCCCAUGUGAAGCUCACGGCUUGUAAACGCCCAUACAGAAAACAAAGCAGCGAGACUGUUCUUCAAGGUUUUUUUUUUAAUUUACUCUUUGCUCCGCGCUGUCACAAUCAUUAGCUGAAGUGCCCAUAAACUCCUAUAGAGGGCACUCCACUCAGGCAUUUUUGUUUCCAUCCCCUUUUUCGAACUCCAUUUCCCAUCCUUUUUUAGCCCCGUCUAGCAUUUCUGAGCAUUUUCCCUGUGUUUGUUCUUCUCGUUUCUGAGUUUGGAUUGUGUAUAGUGCCUUAGAUUCUCUGCCGCCUCCCCCGACCUCUGCUUAUGACUGUUAUUGUUUCUGGAUAUCCCUGACAUACCUGAUCUGUUCCUGAUUACUGCCUGUCCGACCAUUCUUAUAAUAAAGUUCUGCAUAUGGAUCCGAACGCCUCUGACUCGCCGUAACAGAAGACUUCGCCUCUCAGGAUCCAGCAGCUUUUCCUAUGGACACUGGCAAGGUCUGGAUAUGACAAGCCUAUUACUAGCCAUCAAGCAGGGCACUGGAUCACUCGAGGACUAUGUACAUGAGUACUUAGACCUCACUUAUUUCUCUGAACUGCCGGAUUUUGUGCUGAUAGAUUUUUUUUUUUUUUUGUGAUGGACUAAAUGAACCAUCAUGAACCAUGUCACGACUAAUCAGUGAGGGUCCCCUCAUCUCUUGGUCAGUUUAUGGACUAUUUAUGGCUGAUUGUUGGCUCAGCAUUCUCUGUGGGUGUCACGGAGGCACACGACCCUGGACUUACUCACAUCAUGGCCACCACUUCAGAGCCACUGCACAAGAUGGCCGCCAGCCCAGCACCACUUCAAAAUAUGUGGCCGCCAGUCCAGUGCCACUGCACAAGAUAGCCGCCAGCCCAGAGCCACUGCACAAGAUGGCAGCCACAGUUGAUCUUCCAGACUCAGUUCAGGUACCUGUUGAUCUUCCAGAGUCAAGUCAGGUCCCAAUUGACUUCCCAGAGUCAAGUCAGGUCCCCAUAGAUCAGGUCCCUAUUGAUUUCCCAGAGUCUAGUCAAGUAAAACCACAGUUAAACUUCAUAAGUCAAGUCAUCGCUGAUCUCCGUGAACAAAGUCAAGUCACCGUUGAUCCCUGUGAACAAGGUCAAGUCACAGUUGAUCUUUGUGAGCCCAGUCAAAUCACUACUGUUCUUCAAGAACUUCAUCAGAUCUAGUAGAUCUUCCAGAGCUUCGUCAUACCACAACAGAUCAUCCAGAGCCUUAUCACAUCUCAGCUGAGUCUCAUCACAAGCUGUCUAUUGCACCCAGCAAUGUUCUCUCAGCCUGUAGUAUUGCUGUCAAGGAGACGGUUACUGCUGUGGAACCUCCACCCUGGUGGGCUCCAGUUCCACUGUUGACUGUUAUUGAUUCUGGAUAUCCCUGACAUACCUGAUGCCGUUCCUGAUUACUGCCUGUCUGACCAUUUUUAUAAUAAAUUUCUGCAUAUGGAUGCGAAUGUCUCUGACUCGCCGUAACACGCGCUGAGAGGAAUAAGCAUAGUUCACCUCAAGAAGAUGUGAUGAGGAUUACCUAAAGAUUUGAGUUUUGGAUUUCCUCAAAAAAAAGAAUGAAGUGCUUUAUUUAUUUAAUUUAAUUUAAGUUUAAGUUUAACUAAUUUAAGUGUUCCUGUAGCUCAAUUGGUAGAGCAUUGCACUAUCAAGCAGAAGGUUUGGGGUUCGAUACCCCGGGAACACAUGAUAGGUAAAAAUGUAUAGCCUGAAUGUACUGUAAGUCGCUUCUGCUAAAUGGAUAAAUAUAUUAUUAAUAUUAUUCAGCAGAGAUCAUAAACAUGAGUAAGUCUCUUUUUACUUCUUUAUAUAAUUGUAUUUGUAGGUUUCACAUAAUGUGUAAACAUUUUACUAGUUAGAAUUUUUCCAAACUAUAUUUCCUGACUAAAUGUAUAAUCAAGUGAAAAAUUAUGAAGUUUCAAUAACAAUAUAAAGUAUACCAUUCAAAAGCUUGAUGUAAAUAAUAUAAAUGUAACAAAUAAAUGUGUGUAUAUAUAUACAGAGGUGGGUAGUAACGAGUUACAUUUACUUCGUUACAUUUACUUGAGUAAUUUUUUUGGGAAAAAUCUGUACUUUUACUUCGUUACUGUGGGCGACGCUCCGACUCUUUUGGCUCAGCUCCCAAAGAAGAGUUGGCUCUUUCGACUCUUGAAUGGUUCUUAAUUUAGGAUUUUUUGUAGGGCUUUGUUUUACCAUAACUUUGCAAAAAUUAAUGGUUUGUGUGUUGAAAACCUUUUCAUGUGCAGUGUGCAGAAUCCUUAUAAUUGCCUAAUUUUUUUGCAUUUAUUUUGUUACAAAACCAUUCUUUUGUUUAAUAUUUUAAUCAAACAUUUUAUUGCACAAAUAAACAACAAAACUGCAAAUAAAUCCACAGAACUAGAACCAAACUCAAGCAAAUUGUCAUGAGUCCGGACUCGGUGGUCCUCCCUCUCACGAACAGAGGGCACCACUUCCAUUCUCCUGGACUCAUCACCUUCACCAACUCACAAAUUCAUUUACACACCUGGUUCACUCUGUACACCUGUGCACAUACUCACUCACACAGCUGUUCCCAAUUUGCUCACGAGUAUAUAGUUUCGUCUCACACACCACUCUGUCUGGUUGCAUUAAUCGUCAUUUGUAUAUGCUGUGGUUCUUGAUUCUCGUGUUUUGGCUUGUCACGUAAUUUGUUUCUGUUUUGUUUUUGCCGUGUUGGCCUUUUUGUUCUCGUGUGUAAUAAAGUGUUAUUUUCCUGCA